AUUGAACGCUGGAGGCAGGCCUAACACAUGCAAGUCGAGCGGAUGAAGGGAGCUUGCUCCUGGAUUCAGCGGCGGACGGGUGAGUAAUGCCUAGGAAUCUGCCUGGUAGUGGGGGAUAACGUCCGGAAACGGGCGCUAAUACCGCAUACGUCCUGAGGGAGAAAGUGGGGGAUCUUCGGACCUCACGCUAUCAGAUGAGCCUAGGUCGGAUUAGCUAGUUGGUGGGGUAAAGGCCUACCAAGGCGACGAUCCGUAACUGGUCUGAGAGGAUGAUCAGUCACACUGGAACUGAGACACGGUCCCGACUCCUACGGGAGGCAGCAGUGGGGAAUAUUGGACAAUGGGCGAAAGCCUGAUCCAGCCAUGCCGCGUGUGUGAAGAAGGUCUUCGGAUUGUAAAGCACUUUAAGUUGGGAGGAAGGGCAGUAAGUUAAUACCUUGCUGUUUUGACGUUACCAACAGAAUAAGCACCGGCUAACUUCGUG
rnacentral:rRNA from 1 species